CCUACGGGAGGCAGCAGUGAGGAAUAUUGGUCAAUGGGCGAGAGCCUGAACCAGCCAAGUCGCGUGCGGGAUGACGGCCCUACGGGUUGUAAACCUCUUUUGUCGGGGAACAAAACCCUCCACGUGUGGAGUUCUGCAGGUACCCUGAGAAAAAGGGUCGGCUAACUCCGUGCCAGCAGCCGCGGUAAUACGGAGGGUGCGAGCGUUAUCCGGAUUUAUUGGGUUUAAAGGGUGCGCAGGCGGGGGUUCAAGUCAGCGGUAAAAUCGCGGGGCUCAACCCCGUCCUGCAGUUGAAACUGGACGCCUGGAGUGCGCGAGAGGUAUGCGGAAUGCGUGGUGUAGCGGUGAAAUGCGUAGAUAUAAGGAAGAACACCGGUUGCGAAGGCGGCUUGCCGGUGUGCAACUGACGCUGAGGCUCGAAAGCGUGGGUAGCAAACAGGAUUAGAUACCCGGGUAGUC
rnacentral:rRNA from 1 species